GCUCCCGGCCCGCUGGCCUCGCUUGACUACCGCUCCCCGGGAGAGGGAUCGCCGGCGGCGGGCGACGGGCGGCUGGCAAGGGGCAGAGGGCAGAGGGGCUUGGCUUGAAAGGGCGAGGCAGGCGCCAAAAAAAUUCCCUCUCGCGCUCCUGCUCUUUCUAGUGUAUCCAUCGACCAGUGUGCAAAUGCUUGACCAAGCGUCUAUUCUGCCCAAGCCCAGUGAGGCACAAGAUGACUCAGACACUGACCUCUGUCCUCACAAUCUAGUUAAAAGUUGACAUAAGUAAAAACAGAAGUAAAUCACGCCACAAGACAGUGUUUCUUCUUUCAUUAUUCAGAUUAUUAUCACCUGCUAUAUAGGCCUGUGAACAACCAGGCACUGCUGUAGGGGCUGGGGAUAGAGCGAACAGAGGACAGCCCCACUCUCGUGAGGCUUACACUCAGGGCGAGGAACUAGCUAUAGAAUAAAUCGAACAGCGGCGGCUCCCUCGGGAGGCUUAUGCACAGAAACAAAAAUAUAUAAGCAAUGAAACCAUCAAGUGUUAGAGGCACUCUGGUGGUGCUGUAGGGAACGGUGCAAUGUAGAGAGCUGGGCGGAGAAGGCUUUCUAGAAAUAAUGACUCUUCAAUUGAGACUGAAAUAAAUGAUGAAUAAGAGUUAAAGGACAGGCACAGUGGAGAAGGGCAUGCAGAGAAGAAGGACGUUAUGGAGUGAGAGCUUGGCUUGUACCGGUAGCUGGCCAGGAGUUAAGCAAAGUGUCAGAUGGCAGAUGCAAGAGCAAGCAUAAUGAGAAGAGACAAGGCCAAAUCAUGAAGAACGUUGUGCCCUAUGCUUAAAAAUUUUGGACUUCAGAGACUCCGUGCAACGGAAUCCGUGGGGUCAUCUAAGGGAAUAGACAAAACAGUGAGUCAUGGGGUUGACUAGGGGGAUUGUCCUAGUCAUCAAAGAAAAAUAAUACAUCAUGAAUAGCAUGUUUUAUCCUUGAGGGUGCUUUCUUGAACUGCCAUACCCAGAUGUAAAGGCAAUAGACGGCUACCACAACCCUAUAAAGGCAGGACCACAAGGGAUCAUACCCCUCAGGUUGCUGCAUUGAGCAAAUCACCCCAACCAACUGAGAUGCUAACUGAAGUCACAGGGAACUAUGGAAUGGGCCCAGAAGAAAGAAGCUUCAACACCAGCUACAGUAAUGAGGACUGUUGCAUUUUUUGUUUGUUUUCUUUGCUACCAGUGUUUAAUAAAUACUCUCUUGCACACCAAGCCCUUUCUUUGCCUUUUUAAAAAGG
rnacentral:lncRNA from 1 species